UCCAGAGUUUAAUUUAGUCCCUCUGUGUAACUGAGUUGGACCCGCUGACCUGAGGUCAGAACAGGACAGCAUUCGGACCCCCGGUGUGUAGAAAUCCCCCUCAUGUGAAGCAGGUCAAAGGUCAUUCAACCCAGUCUAGAAAAGUGAAUCCUGGAAUCUGACAGGAACAAAUCAAUAAUCAAUGAUUGAUGCUUCAACACUUUGAUCAGAACCUGGAAUGAUUUUACUGACUAAAAUCCUCCAACACAACACGACCCAGUACCAGGUUCUGGUUCUGGUUCUGGUUCUGAAGUCAGCAGGUCUUUAUUGAAGCAGCAGCUUGUUGGCAUUAAUAUUCAUGAGAAUCUUUAACUGGUUCUGUUGGACUGGUUAACCUGCAUCCUGUUGGUUCAGCUCAUCUUUUAUUCUUUAUUCAGAUUGUGGAGCUGCAGUUUGUCAAAGAUCAGCUGUGAUUAUUUGGCUUCAGCUCUGAAGUCCAACAGCCUCCAUCUGAAAGAACUGGACCUGGGAAACAACCUGAUGGAUUCAGAUGUUCAGCAGCUGGAGGAUCUUGUAGAUGAUCUAAAGUGGCAGACAUUUAGGUUUCAGUAGAGAAUGGUCUCUGUGUCCUGCUGAUCCUCAGAGGUUGAAGCUGCAGCAGUUUGAGUCUAAAGAGACUCUGACUGGAUCAUGAUGAUGACCUCUGACCUCCAAGAUUUUCCUCCUGUUUGUUUUCUCAUGUCUGUCAUUGAGUGUCUGAUAUUGUUUGUCUCUUUGGAUCAAUAAAGAUCCAAUUCAAACUGGGCUCCAUUUAGAGGCUUGAUGGAGUUUUGAUCUGAACUGGAUUCAACUGGAAAGUUGAUCUUUUUUCUCUCUGUUUCAUUUUCAUCUUGGAACCAGAACUGGUCUGAGAAUGGAAACAUGGGAAUCAUUUCCAGUUCAGCUUUGAAGCCAUGAAAGACACUUCAACCCUCUUUUCUCUGCUGCUUCUUCCUUCUGUUGACAUGAAAAUGUUCCUCAAAGCUCCUCAGAGAAAAAGAUGCUUUACUGGAAACUGGAGAGAAACUUCAACUUCCAUCACAGAAACCAGUUAAACCAGUUUAGAACUGGAUGUCCCAUAGAAACUCUGAUCUCAGAGCAGUUUUCAGGAACAUCCAUCUUUUAUCUGGAAAAAAAUAUAUAGAUAUAUAUAUUGUGAUGGAAAAAUUACAAUAAGGUCACAUCUGCUAGUCAUGUUAUAUGAAAUGCUUAUGAACUCUCACCAAAAUAACUAUUUGGGUUUCAUGUACAAGGUUGGAAGUUUGUUUUCCACAGCUGCAUCCCAUAACCUUGCAUAAAACCCAUGUGUAGUUUUUGCUUGGCAGUGCUUUGCAUCCAGACUUGCUUCAUUACUGAUUGUCCUAUGAGCUCUCGCUAUAUUAUACACAAUAUAUGAAUAAACCUGAUUGAGUGAUUUUACCUGAACAGUGCUUGGAAAUAGUAUAUUUCCACGAAAAUAUAUAAAUAACUUUUGCAUCAUAGUCAUUGUUGGGAAAUUGAUUUUAUCAGAAAGUUAAUGUUUUCAUAUUAUUAUUCAGUUGUGUUUUUUACUAGGCUCCUUUUCUUUCAUGAUACUUUAUUAACUGUUUCAGGACGUCUACUUUAGACUGUUGUAUCUCCAGGUUUCAACAUUUGUCCAACAACCCCUGACCAAAAUCCCACUGAACUCCAGAAAAACACAACAUAUUUCUGACAUGAAUAUCCAAAAACGCCAAACAAGUAAUGAAUGUAACAGCAUGGAUGAGAUCUUGUAACAAAGGAUUGGCCUCAUUGUUCUGAUGGAUGUUAUCGGUUUAAUUAACGGACUCCUUUGUUUUCUUGACAGAUGUAUAAUUUGUCUGAAUAAACCUGCAAAUAAAGAUAUUUAACAUCA